CCUUCGAUAGCUCAGUUGGUAGAGCGGAGGACUGUAGCAGAUUCCCUGUAGUAAUCCUUAGGUCGCUGGUUCGAUUCCGGCUCGAAGGA
rnacentral:tRNA from 1 species